UACGGGGGGGCAAGCGUUGUUCGGAAUUACUGGGCGUAAAGGGCUCGUAGGCGGCCAACUAAGUCCGACGUGAAAUCCCAAGGCUUAACCUUGGAACUGCGUCGGAUACUGGAUGGCUUGAAUUCGGGAGAGGGAUGCAGAAUUCCAGGUGUAGCGGUGAAAUGCGUAGAUAUCUGGAGGAAUACCGGUGGCGAAGGCGGCAUCCUGGACCGACAUUGACGCUGAGGAGCGAAAGCUAGGGGAGCAAACGGG
rnacentral:rRNA from 1 species